CUUUUCACUUCAGCAAAACAUAUGCUCAGAGUGAAACAAUACAGAAAAGAAUCACAUGGCCCCAACCCAAGGAUGAUGUGCAAAUUCACAAAACUUUCCAGAUUUUA